rnacentral:tRNA from 1 species
GCUGGUGUAGCUCAACUGGUAGAGCACCUGAUUUGUAAUCAGUAGGUUGGGGGUUCAAGUCCCUUCACCAGCU